rnacentral:tRNA from 1 species
GGGCGUGUGGUGGAAUUGGCAGACACGCUAGACUUAGGAUCUAGUGGGGCAACCUGUGGAGGUUCGAGUCCUCUCACGCCCACCA